CAAGACCUUGUGCUUUUGGAGCGGCCGAUGCCUGAUUAGCUAGUUGGUGGGGUAAAGGCCUACCAAGGCAACGAUCAGUAGUUGGUCUGAGAGGACGACUAGCCACACUGGGACUGAGACACGGCCCAGACUCCUACGGGAGGCAGCAGUGGGGAAUUUUGGACAAUGGGCGAAAGCCUGAUCCAGCAAUGCCGCGUGAGUGAAGAAGGCCUUCGGGUUGUAAAGCUCUUUCAGCCGAGAAGAAAAGGUUGUGACAAAUAAUCACAACUUAUGACGGUAUCGACAGAAGAAGCACCGGCUAACUACGUGCCAGCAGCCGCGGUAAUACGUAGGGUGCAAGCGUUAAUCGGAAUUACUGGGCGUAAAGGGUGCGCAGGCGGCUUUGUAAGUCAGAUGUGAAAUCCCCGGGCUUAACCUGGGAAUU
rnacentral:rRNA from 1 species